rnacentral:rRNA from 1 species
AGCGAACGUUUGCGGCGGGCUUAACACAUGCAAGUCGAACGAGAAUCCCUUCGGGGAGGAAAGUGGCGCACGGGUGCGUAACACGUGGAUAACCAACCCAUUGGUUUGGGACAACACCGGGAAACUGGUGCUAAUACCAGAUGUGUCGCAGCUGUCUUCAGGCGGUUGCGAGAAAGGCCCGCAAGGGUCGCCAACGGACGGGUCCGCGUCCCACCAGCUAGUUGGUGAGGUAAUGGCUCACCAAGGCAAAGACGGGUAGCUGGUCUGAGAGGAUGAUCAGCCACACUGGAACUGAGACACGGUCCAGACUCCUACGGGAGGCAGCAGUGGGGAAUAUUGCGCAAUGGGCGAAAGCCUGACGCAGCCACGCCGCGUGAGCGAUGAAGGUCUUCGGAUCGUAAAGCUCUGUGGGGGGANAAGAAGAAAGCCGGUGAAGAGCCGGCCCUGACGGUAUCCCCUUAGCAAGCACCGGCUAACUCCGUGCCAGCAGCCGCGGUAAUGU